UUUUUUUUUUUUUACAAUUCAGCCAUUGCUCUGCAAAAUCCAGUGUUCCGAUUUGACAGCGUAAUACAAAUCCUAUCAAGUGUUUCACCCAAAUCCCACAGACAUCACAUGGGCAACGACUUCGCAAUGAACCGAGCGCCUGGAGCGAGACAGACAGGAGGCCGGCUGUGCACACACACUCCAGAUAAAGUUUAAAAGACGGAACGUUGUGUUCUGCGACCGAGGACAAGCAGCCGAAGACACAGAGAUAACUGGUUUCAACACCGCAAGGAUGAUCGCAAGGAGAAGCCAAGAGUACGAACGCCGUGAACGCACAGUACAAGCGAAGGACACAGCCGCACGAUGUGGAAGCGAGGCUGACAGUUUGAGCAGACAGUACACACUGUAAGUGCAUGAGACCCAUGUCUAUACCUUACCCCUCAGCGUUACUGCUGAGACCAAUCAGAACUGCACACACUCAUCACACACGCAAAGAGCACAUUCUCUUCAGAGGAAGGUUUUUAAAGGGGGUGUAAGAAGAGGGACAUUAAAGGGGAACCAGGUUACCUCCGAGUAAACAGCUUGGCAGUUCCACAGAAGAUGGUGAAGGAGCGUCUUGCCGGUGUGAGUAAACAAGGCGAAGUGGCUCCCCGAGCCUGCAGAGAGAUGACUGCUGUUUCCAGGAGGCGGGGCCUCGUCCUGCAGCAGCCCUGCAGGAACGCUGAUGCUUCGUUUGGGCUGAGCGAGAGUGUUCCCGUGGGAACGCCCGGGCUAAAAACCCGGCGGCCCUCUGUCACCCUCUCACUCACGUCACUUAAUGUAAAUCAUUUGUAAAUAAUUUAUGUAAAAAAUACAGAAAAUUGACAAAGCAAUAAA